rnacentral:rRNA from 1 species
AUUGAACGCUGGCGGCAGGCCUAACACAUGCAAGUCGAACGAGUGGCGGACGGGUGAGUAAUGUCUGGGAAACUGCCUGAUGGAGGGGGAUAACUACUGGAAACGGUAGCUAAUACCGCAUACCAUCGGAUGUGCCCAGAUGGGAUUAGCUAGUAGGUGGGGUAAAGGCUCACCUAGGCGACGAUCCCUAGCUGGUCUGAGAGGAUGACCAGCAAGACUGUAAUUGGGAAAAGGACCAGACGCCGACGGGAGGCAGCAGUGGGGAAUAUCAGACAAUGGGAGCAACCCUGAUGCAGCAAUGCCGCGUGUAUGAAGAAGGCUUGCGGGUUGUAAAGUACUUUCAGCGGGGAGGCGUUACCCGCAGAAGAAGCACCGACUAACUCCGUGCAAGCAGCCGGGUAAUUC